rnacentral:rRNA from 1 species
AUUGAACGCUGGCGGCAGGCCUAACACAUGCAAGUCGAACGGUAACAGGAAGAAGCUUGCUUCUUUGCUGACGAGUGGCGGACGGGUGAGUAAUGUCUGGGAAACUGCCUGAUGGAGAGGGAUAACUACUGGAAACGGUAGCUAAUACCGCAUAACGUCGCGAGACCAAAGAGGGGGACCUUCGGGCCACUUGCCAUCGGAUGUGCCCAGAUGGGAUUAGCUAGUAGGUGGGGUAACGGCUCACCUAGGCGACGAUCCCUAGCUGGUCUGAGAGGAUGACCAGCCACACUGGAACUGAGACACGGUCCAGACUCCUACGGGAGGCAGCAGUGGGGAAUAUUGCACAAUGGGCGCAAGCCUGAUGCAGCCAUGCCGCGUGUAUGAAGAAGGCCUUCGGGUUGUAAAGUACUUUCAGCGGGGAGGAAGGGAGUAAAGUUAAUACCUUUGCUCAUUGACGUUACCCGCAGAAGAAGCACCGGCUAACUCCGUGCCAGCCGCCGCCGUAA